rnacentral:lncRNA from 1 species
CUUAUUACAAGCCCAUUAAAAAAACGGUUCUAUUUGUCUAGUUCAAAAUAAAUAAAAUUAAGGAGUGUUUUGUAUAACAUCAUUAUCAUCACCAUCUGAUGAACAUUCAUUACCAAGACAGUAUACAUAAGGGUCUACUUGCCGAGGAUGGAAAGAACGAUCGCGGGGAGGACGGGAGGAACGAGCACGGGGAGGACGGAAAGAACGCCCACGUUCAAGUCGAGCCUCUGGCAAUAACUCAGGAGAUUGGGGAAUCGGAAAAGUUUCAGAAGCUACGAGAUAUUUGAGCUGCUCUUGCAUGCCCUAGAACUAAGCUUGCAUGUCAAAGUACUGAGCAUCUCUAAUCUUUUCUCUUUCCCUGGUCGUUUCUAGCUCGGAUCGGAUGUAAGCUUUGUCACAAUAAACAAAAUUUCAUUGAAUUAGUUUUUCAAAAUUUAUAUAAAAGUAAAUCAAAACACUUAAUGUAAAGUGAAAACUUACAUACACAGUCGAGGCUCUCAAAAGUUCAAUUCAUAUACUAAAAUUUUAAUUUAUAAACUAAAAGUGCAAUUCAUAAACUAAAAUUUUAAUUCAUAUUCAAAAAGUUCAAUUAAAUAAUUUAUACCUUAAAUCAAUUUAUAAGUUAAGUAAUUUAAAUACAUUAAUUUGAGUUCUAUUAAGAACCAUAAGUUCAUAAUUUCUGCCUUAAUUUUUAAAUUACUUAAAUGCUUUAAUUUGAGUUCUAUACCUUAAUACUAAAUUUAAUGUAGUUCAAACCAAAAGCUCUAAAAAUUAUAAUUUUAGGUAGUUUAAAUCUAAAUCUAUAAUAGUUCAAAAAUCCUACUUAGUCACACAAAUACUAAAUAGACAAAAACUCUAAAAAAUUAUAUAAAUUUUUAUUUCAAAAAUAAAAAAUUAAAAAGCUAAGGUAGAUUACUGACCUUGGACAACAAUGGUAGUAAUGGCGCAGCAAAGAAGGAGAACGGCAGUGGUGGCUUCGGAAUAGUGAUAGCAGCGGCUAGGGGCGCAGGCUGAAAGAGAAAAGGCGGGGCAGCGACGGCUCCGACGAUCAUAGUGGUGGCGCGGGGCUGGGGGAAUAAUUUGUGUGAGGGAAAUAGAGAAGGGGAAGGGAAUUUGUUGAGAGAGAGAGGUUGGGAAAAUUUUGGGAAGAAA